rnacentral:rRNA from 1 species
UACGGAGGUGGCAAGCGUUACUCGGAAUCACUGGGCGUAAAGCGCACGUAGGCGGAUCGUUAAGUCAGGGGUGAAAUCCUGGAGCUCAACUCCAGAACUGCCUUUGAUACUGGCGACCUUGAGUUCGGGAGAGGUGAGUGGAACUGCGAGUGUAGAGGUGAAAUUCGUAGAUAUUCGCAAGAACACCAGUGGCGAAGGCGGCUCACUGGCCCGAUACUGACGCUGAGGUGCGAAAGCGUGGGGAGCAAACAGG